GUGAAGCAGCUCAGUUGGUUAGAGUGUGGUGCUGAGAGUGUCAGGGUUGCAGGUUCAAUCCCUGUAUAGGAGAGCUUCAUA